ACAUUUGCGGUUUCCGCCACCGUGAAGCGACACAAGACGGACGGCAUAACAGAAGAAAAGUCGCGCGGUGCCGCAGUGAAGCGGACGACACCCAAUUCAAUUUAUUAAAUAAAAAAGAAAUUGGUGAAGCCACAUUAGAUCCAGCAGUAAUAAGGAUUUGUGCUGGUAGUGAUCGUGUGAAAAAGGCCUGACAGACGGUCCAACGGCAGGUGAAUCAAGCGGCAAAUGAACCUAUAAGUGCCGGGAGUCGCCGUUCCGUUCGAUUCGAAGGUUCACACACGAAACACGCAGCCGGUUAAACGCGAGGACACCGGAAUCGGUUGUGCCAGCACGGACUUGGAAGCGUCAGCCCAGAAUCGUCAUUAUCACGGAGACUGCUAUCGACGGAAAGGGAGCCAUUGGAUUGCGGGAAAAGUGGCCAUCUCAUUUGCGUCUCACAAAUCACCAGUAAAAGGCCCCGAAGGGGCCUUUGUUACCAUCCGGAACACUUCGACCAACGCGUGAAACCCAUCACCGAGCAGCAAAAGUGGAAAGCCGGCGAGUGAACGAUAGCCCAGGGAUAAAGAAGUGUACGCAAUCGUUCCGCAAGAGCCCGGCAGAAGCGGCCCGGGGGGCGUCACCGACCGAACGCGAUCGAGGAUCGGCACAGACUCGUCACUGUUGCCGGGUAAGCGGGCGAAUAGGUCAUCAUCGACGACGGGCGCAGCAAAAUCCCUCGGAGGGACUCCAUCCAGUUACCCGGUCGCACUGGACGGCCAGAGGGGUCCCCAGCAGAGGGAUUGGCAUUGCGGAGCGAGGGAGAGUCAACUGUGCAGCAGGAUGCUGUCGACAGGCGUGCGUGGGACAGCGGCGAGUGGCCGACUGCGGCAAGAAGUAUCGCUGUAGGGGGACGCCCCGAACGCAAGAAGGUACCCUGAGUGCUAACGGUCCCGUGAGUAGCAACCCAAAUGUCUAGUUGUUAAGAAUAUGUAGAGGGAGAGGCAUAGAGAAAAUUAGGGACAGAUAGGAAGAGGCAAGAUGAAUGAAUGAGGGCAAAUGCUCUAAAUAUAUGUA